rnacentral:misc_RNA from 1 species
CACCAACAGCUACCUGAUG